rnacentral:rRNA from 1 species
ACAGGAUUAGAUACCCUGGUAGUCCACGCCGUAAACGAUGUCUACUUGGAGGUUGUGGCCUUGAGCCGUGGCUUUCGGAGCUAACGCGUUAAGUAGACCGCCUGGGGAGUACGGUCGCAAGAUUAAAACUCAAAUGAAUUGACGGGGGCCCGCACAAGCGGUGGAGCAUGUGGUUUAAUUCGAUGCAACGCGAAGAACCUUACCUACUCUUGACAUCCAGAGAAGCCAGCGGAGACGCAGGUGUGCCUUCGGGAGCUCUGAGACAGGUGCUGCAUGGCUGUCGUCAGCUCGUGUUGUGAAAUGUUGGGUUAAGUCCCGCAACGAGCGCAACCCUUAUCCUUGUUUGCCAGCGAGUAAUGUCGGGAACUCCAGGGAGACUGCCGGUGAUAAACCGGAGGAAGGUGGGGACGACGUCAAGUCAUCAUGGCCCUUACGAGUAGGGCUACACACGUGCUACAAUGGCGCAUACAGAGGGCAGCAAGCUAGCGAUAGUGAG